ACAGAGGUCUCAAGCGUUGUUCGGAUUCAUUGGGCGUAAAGGGUGCGUAGGUGGCGCCGUAAGUCGGGUGUGAAAUUUCGGAGCUUAACUCCGAAACUGCAUUCGAUACUGCGGUGCUUGAGGACUGGAGAGGAGACUGGAAUUCAUGGUGUAGCAGUGAAAUGCGUAGAGAUCAUGAGGAAGACCAGUGGCGAAGGCGGGUCUCUGGACAGUUCCUGACACUGAGGCACGAAGGCCAGGGGAGCAAACGGG
rnacentral:rRNA from 1 species